GAUGAACGCUGGCGGCGUGCCUAACACAUGCAAGUCGAACGGAGAUUACGGACGGAAGUUUUCGGAUGGAAGCCUGUAAUUCUUAGUGGCGGACGGGUGAGUAACGCGUGGGCAACCUGCCCUAUACAGGGGGAUAGCAGCUGGAAACGGCUGGUAAGACCGCAUAAGUCGGUUAAAUCGCAUGAUUUGAUCGGGAAAUGAGCAAUCAGGUAUAGGAUGGGCCCGCGUCCGAUUAGCCAGUUGGCAGGGUAAAAGCCUACCAAAGCGACGAUCGGUAGCCGGACUGAGAGGUCGGACGGCCACAUUGGGACUGAGACACGGCCCAAACUCCUACGGGAGGCAGCAGUGGGGGAUAUUGCACAAUGGAGGAAACUCUGAUGCAGCGACGCCGCGUGAGUGAAGAAGUAUUUCGGUAUGUAAAGCUCUAUCAGAAGGGAAGAUGAUGACGGUACCUGACGAAGAAGCCCCGGCUAACUACGUG
rnacentral:rRNA from 1 species